rnacentral:rRNA from 1 species
UACGUAGGGACCAAGCGUUGUCCGGAAUCAUUGGGCGUAAAGAGCGUGUAGGCGGCCAGGUAGGUCCGUUGUGAAAACUCGAGGCUCAACCUCGAGACGCCGAUGGAAACCAUCUGGCUAGAGUCCGGAAGAGGAGAGUGGAAUUCCCGGUGUAGCGGUGAAAUGCGCAGAUAUCGGGAAGAACACCCGUGGCUAAGGCGGCUCUCUAGUACGGUACUGACGCUGAGACGCGAAAGCGUGGGGAGCGAACAGG